AAUAUUGAUGGGAAGCUGAUCUGGGUAAAAGAUGAGAUGAGCUCUUGUUUAUUCUUGGUCAAGACUAAAUCGAACCUUAGUUUUUGUUAUCUACCGACUAACCAAGACACUCACUGAGCUGAAACAUUCUUUAAAAUCCAUUAUUGAUUCUCAAAUCCGAUGAUGACCUGGUUUCUGAUUGUUAUGGAAGGAAAUUACAACGAUUAUGUUAGUGGAAAUGUGUCUCAGAAAAAUUGGAGAAGUUCAGGGAACGUAGGGUCUUGAAAAUGUACUUUAAGCCUAUAACUCCUUGACAUCCAAAUAUCAGGACAGAAAAUGCAGAAAAGAUCCUAGUUACAUCUGAUAUAAGUGUCAAUGAAACAAGAAGGAGGCUCAAAUAUGGCUACUAUGAACAUUCUUUGUUUCCUCUGUAUAAUCUCCACUGAAAUCUUUCAUUUCUUAUUGCACAGAGGGAAAACUUUCACACAAUCAUGAGCAAAAGAAAAUCAGUGUUUUUUUUUUUUAACAGUGAAAUUUCAUACUUCUUUUGAUAAAUAUUUCCUGUAAAAACAGUUAUAUCUUAUGUUACAAAAACGUUGACCACUAACUUGUGGUGAGUGUAAUACCAUUAGAGCAUAGCUCCAAUGGUUUUGAUGCAUUAACUGGGUAAUUUUUACCUAUCAUCCUCAAACUUUAGGGGGUGUUUCAUAUCAGUCUCUCAACUUCAAUUUGUUACCAAAAAAUCCUUCAACUUACAAAAAUCCUUGUUGCUAGAAUCUGGCAUGAGCUUCAGUCAAGAUCCAAUGUGGCACUUAAUAUUAUAUUUAUAUCCUUGCCAUGCGGAUCUGAAAACUGUCUUUCCUCCUUUUUGGAUUAUUCUUG
rnacentral:misc_RNA from 1 species